GGACUACUGGGGUUUCUAAUCCUGUUCGCUCCCCACGCUUUCGCUCCUCAGCGUCAGUUACGGCCCAGAGAUGUGCCUUCGCCAUCGGUGUUCCUCCUGAUAUCUGCGCAUUCCACCGCUACACCAGGAAUUCCCAUCUCCCCUACCGCACUCUAGUUUGCCCGUACCCACUGCAGGUCCGAGGUUGAGCCUCGGAUUUUCACAGCAGACGCGACAAACCGCCUACGGGCUCUUUACGCCCAAUAAUUCCGGACAACGCUUGCACCCUACGUAUUACCGCGGCUGCGGCACC
rnacentral:misc_RNA from 1 species